rnacentral:rRNA from 1 species
UACAGAGGGGGCAAGCGUUGUUCGGAAUUACUGGGCGUAAAGGGCGCGUAGGCGGCCUUCUAAGUCGAACGUGAAAUCCCUGGGCUCAACCCAGGAACUGCGUCCGAUACUGGAAGGCUUGAAUCCGGGAGAGGGAUGCGGAAUUCCAGGUGUAGCGGUGAAAUGCGUAGAUAUCUGGAGGAACACCGGUGGCGAAGGCGGCAUCCUGGACCGGUAUUGACGCUGAGGCGCGAAAGCGUGGGUAGCAAACAGG